GGGGAUUUUGUCAUAUAAGAGUAGUAUUGCUACCCAUAGCCAAACUCUUCUUUCACAAAGAACACGGGAGCACUUUAUCUUUUACUGGGAGCAGUUUCAACCUGGAAUUCUACUCUCAUUUCAUGACCUUCUCUUAAGGCAUCUACAAACAAAGUGAUUAUGGAUGAAGGAUGGCAUGAGCCAGAAAAUGAGUUCUGAUGAAAGUCAAGCUUGCUACAUUGACUUCUGGCUGCUCCAGCCCCAGUGUCCAUGGCCUGUUCCACCUAGGUUUGGACAUUGGGAGUAGCCCGGACCUGGAUGGAACCUAAACCUCCCGCCCCAGGGUAUACAAGCAGGAUCUUCUUGCAGUCAGACACCCCUGGAUGGCCACACAAGGCUGUAAACUGCGGGCUACAUUGUACAAUAAGUCAAAGAAUACAGAGAAACAUUAAAAAGUGAAAGUCUUCCCUCAGCCACUUGCCCUGCUCCCACUGGAAUCCCACUUCCUGGGGGUAGUCACCAUUAACAGAUUAUUUUCUGUGGAUCUACAAACCAUGUAUACAAACUCAUCUAAUACAGCACAGUAGCUUUCCUAAGAAUCCUUACAUAUAGUUAUUUGAUUGUUUUAUGUUUUAACUUUGGGGGAAGGCUAGGUUCUAAUUUCAAACUUACAUGACAAUAAUUUCUCUUUUAGAUUUUAAAUAAUAAAGGAGUAUUUCAAUAGUUUUAAGUAUAUUUUGUUGUUACACUCAAACUCUAAUAAAUUAAAUGAUCAACUGAUCAAAAUUAAUACAUUUGAAUCUUAUUGU